rnacentral:tRNA from 1 species
GGGGCUGUAGCUCAGAUGGAUAGAGCGUGGGUUUCCUAAACCUAAGGUCGGCGGUUCGAACCCGCCCAGCCCCACCA